GACGUAGGGCGCGAGCGUUGUCCGGAUUUAUUGGGCGUAAAGAGCUCGUAGGCGGCUUGUCGCGUCGAAUGUGAAAUCUCAGGGCUCAACUCUGACAUUGCAUUCGAUACGGGCAGGCUAGAGUUCGGUAGGGGAGACUGGAAUUCCUGGUGUAGCGGUGAAAUGCGCAGAUAAUCAGGAGGAACACCGGUGGCGAAGGCGGGUCUCUGGGCCGAUACUGACGUGAGGAGCGAAAGCGUGGGGAGCGAACAGG
rnacentral:rRNA from 1 species